rnacentral:misc_RNA from 1 species
AACGCAUAUUGCACUCUUUGGUAUUCCGAAGAGUAUGCUUGUUUCAGUAUCAUGAAAAUCCUCGUUAAAUAUGAAUUUUUUUUUCAAAUUUAAUGGAUUUGGAUUUGCGAUUAGGAUAAUUAAUUGCUAAUCUGAAAUGAAUUUCAAGAAGCUGAUGCUAGAUCUUUGCUUAAUAGUUUUGGUUUUUUAAAUCAAAUCUUUAGCUCUGAUCUUUAAGCAAAAAGUGAAUUGAUUUUACGAAAUUUAAUCUCAUUUUUUGAUCUGAAAUCAAGUAGGACUACCCGCUGAACUUAA